rnacentral:rRNA from 1 species
UGGCGGACGGGUGAGUAACGCGUGGGGAACCUGCCGUAUACUGGGGGAUAACACUUAGAAAUAGGUGCUAAUACCGCAUAAGCGCACAGCUUCGCAUGAAGCGGUGUGAAAAACUCUGGUGGUAUACGAUGGUUCCGCGUCUGAUUAGCUAGUUGGUGGGGUAAUGGCCUACCAAGGCAACGAUCAGUAGCCGGCCUGAGAGGGUGAACGGCCACAUUGGGACUGAGACACGGCCCAAACUCCUACGGAAGGCAGCAG